rnacentral:rRNA from 1 species
UACGUAGGGGGGCAAGCGUUGUCCGGAUUUAUUGGGCGUAAAGAGCGUGUAGGCGGCCGCACAGGUCCGUUGUGAAAACUGGAGGCUCAACCUUCAGACGUCGAUGGAAACCGUGCGGCUAGAGUCCGGAAGAGGAGAGUGGAAUUCCUGGUGUAGCGGUGAAAUGCGCAGAUAUCAGGAAGAACACCCGUGGCGAAGGCGGCUCUCUGGGACGGUACUGACGCUGAGACGCGAAAGCGUGGGGAGCGAACAGG